ensembl:lncRNA LINC01204 long intergenic non-protein coding RNA 1204
CACCCCAGGGAGUGCCCACAUUUUAGCUUGCUUGUUGCUGGGGAAAAGACUUGCUGCUUUGUGUUUCAUUUGAUGAAGAGCUUCUUUUCAUUUAGUCAGUCACUUAUUUCCAGAGAUUUCCUGGUGAUGUUGCCUCACAUUUAUUUGUGGAAAUGCCAGUAUGUUUUAAGCUUGCAGCUUCCAUAAGUCAGGAUUCCAGUCACAGCUUAGCUGGAUCCUCUCAGAAGGCUACGAUCAAGGUGUCAGCCAGACUGAGUUCUCAUCAGAGGCUCGACUAGGAGAGGAUCUGCUUCCAAGUUCCCUCAGGUUGUUGGAAGGAUUCAUUUUCUUGUGGCUAAGCUCACAGGAGCUUUCUUCUUCAAGGGCAUCAGGAGAGUGGAGAGCGAGUCUACUCAAAGACUUCUAUACAAAUCAUAAGGUAAUCACAUGAGGGACAUACCAUCAUCUUUGCCAUAUUCUGUUGGUUACAAACAAGUCACCAGUUCCACCUGCACUCAAGGGGAGGAGAUUAUACAGGGUGAACAUGGGGGCCAUCCUAGAAUUCUGCCCACUUUACAGUUGAAACAGUAUUUUUUAAAAUGCCAAUGAAAUCCAAGAUAGACAGUUUAUCUUGGAUAAACUUUUAGCACCUUUUGAUUAACAUACCUGUUGGACUUUACAACUGUAAGAUUAGUAAGCACAAGAUUCCCCAGUAUUUCAAGGAUUUAAAGGGAACAUGGUAAAAAGGUACUCUUUGCUAUGCAAAAUCUAGCCAUCUAGCAUUGCUGUGGCCCUGGCCAGUUUGCAGCUCUGGCCAAAAGAGGGCUGCUGAGUCCAGCCCUGUCCACAGUGUAUACGGGCACACCUGACUACAUCAUGCACAGCAAUCCUGUUUGUGGCACCACUGAUGAAUUACCCCUAUUCAAGUGAACAGGCAUUGAGACCCUAAGGGGACCACAGGGUCUGGUUCAUUCACCACAAACACAGUCUUCCUUGAAUGUUAGCAAUGAGUUUAGUCAUCUCAUUAGGAGACUUGAACAGAAGUGAAGGUAAACACUAUUCAUGUCAGAAAAAAAUAUAACGUGGUAGGUAGUAAGAUAUGUAAACAAAGGACUACAGUUCUCUGCCUUUUGAAAGCAUACCUGUGCUACUUGUCUGAAGUAAAAAAAAAAAACAACUGUGCAUUAUUCUGUAUGAAGCAUCUUUUGCAUGUGUUCAUGUGUAUAAACAGGAUUAUGGGUUAUGAUGUAGGAAUUGAGGAUAAACUACAUUUUAUAUUUUUUCAUAUUGUGGAAAGAAGAAAUAAACUAUACUCCUGUGUUAGCUGGAUUCUCUGAGAAGCAGAUGCUGAAAUUGAAUUAGAAGGGCAAAAGGUAUAUUGGGAAGUAACACCUGAGAGGAUGCAGGAUUUGGCAAAGAAUGUUGUGUCUGCACAACUCUACGUGACCCACAAAAGUCAUACAUCUGGCCUUUAAUUUUUUAAAAGAAUCAAGAAGCUCUAUGGUUUUAUAGUAUCUGGCUCUUGUUUAUAAUGAUUAGAACUAUCUCACAGAACCUCAGGGACUUAGGCAAAUUCUCAGAGGUUGUCUAUGCCAACCCUUCAUUGUUAGACAGGGAUGCAUCAAAUCACCCUGAGUGUGGGGAACAUUUCCACCUUUGCGAUGGCCCAGGUAACUGGUUUUACAAAAUCCUUUGUUCAGCUGUUUCACUAAGAGGUUGUAGACAUUGGAGUCUUCCUAACUAAAUCACGUCUACUCCAGAUUAAGAGUAGGAUAGUAUUCUCUGGUGGCUACUUUCUUUUUGCCAGUCCCUCACAUGUUGGGGUUCACUAAUAUCUUCUUCUCUUCUUUCUUAUGAGUCUUCCCAAGAACUCAUUCAGCCCAUAAUGUCAAUAGUGCCAAGGUUGAGAAAUCCUGCUGUAUAGAGACAACUCCCAUUUCACAUCCUCUGCCCAGGUUUCACUCCCAGGCUCCACAUGCCAAGAUGAGGAAUAUUUAAUCUAUAUUCUAAAUAGAGUAAAAAGCAAGGUCAUCAGAUGAAAAGGUGUUGGGAGCAAGACUGGCUUAUUCCAUUAAGCAUAGUAGUCUAAGUGCCUGCUUGGGACCCACAAUAUUUUCAAGGGCCCAUGAAAAAUGUUUUAAUUUUAAUUUCUUUUGAAAUCAGGAGGAAAAAAUGAAUAUUGUAACAAUGAAUACAUAAUAAUAAAUCACACUUGGAUUGUGUUUGUCUUUAUAA